CCUACGGGUGGCAGCAGUGAGGAAUAUUGGUCAAUGGGCGAAAGCCUGAACCAGCCAAGCCGCGUGAGGGAAGACGGCCCUAUGGGUUGUAAACCUCUUUUGUCGAGGGACAAAACCCGGGUCGUGUCCCGGACUGCGUGUAUCCGAAGAAAAAGCAUCGGCUAACUCCGUGCCAGCAGCCGCGGUAAUACGGAGGAUGCGAGUGUUAUCCGGAUUUAUUGGGUUUAAAGGGUGCGUAGGCGGUCCGUUAAGUCAGCGGUAAAAGUGCGGGGCUCAACCCCGUCGAGCCGUUGAAACUGGCAGACUUGAGUUGGCGAGAGGUACGAGGAAUGCGCGGUGUAGCGGUGAAAUGCAUAGAUAUAGCGCAGAACUCCGAUUGCGAAGGCAGCGUACCGGCGCCAGACUGACGCUGAGGCACGAAAGCGUGGGGAUCGAACAGGAUUAGAUACCCCUGUAGUC
rnacentral:rRNA from 1 species